rnacentral:misc_RNA from 2 species
AACGCACAUUGCGCCCCCCGGCAUUCCGAGGGGCAUGCCUGUUCGAGCGUCAUAAUAGCCAAUCCAGCCCCGCUGGGUCUUGGGCUCGCCGGUAGGCGUCCCUCAAAGCCAGUGGCGGCGCCGUCCGGCUCCCGAGCGUAGUACAACCCCUCGCUACGGGACCGGGCGCGCGCCCGCCAGCAAACCCUUCUACGGUUGACCUCGGAUCAGGUAGGGAUACCCGCUGAACUUAA